CCUGAACCUGGCAUACAAUGUAGAUUUCUGUGUGGUUCUAUUCUACAGCUACAUUGUCUGCUGGGUUUCUG
rnacentral:pre_miRNA from 14 species